rnacentral:lncRNA from 1 species
AGCCUGAGCCCGUCAGCAGGCAGCAUCACCACGGUCGGUGCAGCUGUGGGCCUGACAGGAAGCAGGAGGAAGCACCGACCCACCACCAGGAGAGGAGCUGGUCUCCAGGGUUCUGACGGCUGUGACGGACCCUUCGGACGCUGCUGACGCUGGUUGAGGUCUUUGGUCUUCAGGUUGACCACCUUCAUGGUGGACAUGGAUUGGUCCUCGCUCUCGAUGCUCAGAAUGAAGCGCAGGCUGAGCUGAGACCCCAGGAAGGGCAUGUAGUCAUCAGCCAUCACCGUCGUUGGAGAUGAUGCCGGUGUAGUAAACCACCGAUCCAGACAGGAGGGCGUUCACCAUC